AGCAGCAGCCACGGUAAUACAGAGGGUGCGAGCGUUAAUCGGAUUUACUGGGCGUAAAGCGUGCGUAGGCGGCUAAUUGAGUCGGAUGUGAAAUCCCCGAGCUUAACUUGGGAAUUGCAUUCGAUACUGGUUAGCUAGAGUGUGGGAGAGGAUGGUAGAAUUCCAGGUGUAGCGGUGAAAUGCGUAGAGAUCUGGAGGAAUACCGAUGGCGAAGGCAGCCAUCUGGCCUAACACUGACGCUGAGGUACGAAAGCAUGGGGAGCAAACAGGAUUAGAUACCCCAGUAGUCCCUGUCUCUUAUAC
rnacentral:rRNA from 1 species